ACAUCCAGCGAACUUGGCAGAGAUGCCUUUGGUGCCUUCGGGAACGCUGAGACAGGUGCUGCAUGGCUGUCGUCAGCUCGUGUUGUGAAAUGUUGGGUUAAGUCCCGNAACGAGCGCAACCCUUAUCCUUUGUUGCCAGCGAUUCGGUCGGGAACUCAAAGGAGACUGCCGGUGAUAAACCGGAGGAAGGUGGGGAUGACGUCAAGUCAUCAUGGCCCUUACGAGUAGGGCUACACACGUGCUACAAUGGCGCAUACAAAGAGAAGCGACCUCGCGAGAGCAAGCGGACCUCAUAAAGUGCGUCGUAGUCCGGAUCGGAGUCUGCAACUCGACUCCGUGAAGUCGGAAUCGCUAGUAAUCGUGGAUCAGAAUGCCACGGUGAAUACGUUCCCGGGCCUUGUACACACCGCCCGUCACACCAUGGGAGUGGGUUGCAAAAGAAGUAGGUAGCUUAACCUUCGGGAGGGCGCUUACCACUUUGUGAUUCAUGACUGGGGUGAAGUCGUAACAAGGUAGGCGUAGCGAG
rnacentral:rRNA from 1 species